CCCCCCCAGUACCGCCUUUCUAAGCGGAGCGUACCGCCACCUAGCGGCCAGAGUCUGGCAACACUGCCUGGGAAGGAAAAAUCCCCGACGAUGAAUCAAAAGCGUACUGGGGUCGCUCAUGUUCGUCUCGGAGCGACCUGAAUAUACUCAGUACGCUCUGUCAGCGCUUCUAGGAAUGCCAAGGUUGAACCAAACACUGAAACUGCCAAACUACAUAAUAAUUGCUGUGAUUCUUGCUCCUCGCCAUAGCCGAGAAGUCUAGGGAAGCGAAGAGGAAAGUAAGAGGAAAUAUGGAAACCAAACUCUGGCCAAAAUCGCAUUUUGAAGGUCGUCAUAUCCAUAAGGCUUUCGGUGAUAGCAAGACUACACUUGCAGAUGACGAACAUGGGAUGGAUGAUGUUUCACACACUCACAAUGAACGUGCAGUAGAAAAAUGGUUGAGUCCCACAGUGAAACAGAAAAGGCCAGCUGAAAAGCUAAACGUGCUGAGGGAUGUUUCUAAAAGCAAGUCCGCCAAGAAGAUGCUGCAGGCCAUUUUUCAACCAGAUAUUAAUACCGAAGAAUACCCGCCUUUCGAUGUAAACCACACUACCUAAGUGGAAGCACUGCGUGUUACUUAUUAUGGCCACUAUGCCGUUCCUACCGUUUCUUUUCCACAUGGAUUAAAAUAUAUAAAUGUUCUGUCUAACAGCGAGGCUCAAUACCUUUGAAGUAGAUGCAGAGGUUGUAAAGACAGUCCUGUGUUGGUGUACGGUGCUCUCGGCAGGUAUCUAACUCUUGUUAACUUUACAGAGCUGCUGACUGAUACUGCGUUAUCGACAAUAACUGUUGACACACGUGUACACUGUCUUCUAGACAAUAUAAAUGUAGCAGAGGACAAAGUGUGUGUUUUGUCAUCUUUGGAAACGAAAGAGAUAUUCCAGUGCCCGUGCAGGUCAACUGUCUCCGUUAAUGAGAUACAUCUACUUAAAUACUAGUGCGUUCCUGAUGCCUUACCUUUUGCCCGAUCAUUGGGUUUUGUGUCUCGCCAACUUUCAAGAAAAAACGUUUGCACUGUAUGAUCCUGCAGGGAUCGAUGAAACAAUGUACAGGCAAAUGAAAAAUCUCUCUGAGAUUUACGUGCAAAAUAAGGGCAUAAACAUCAGAUUUCCUGGAACAGAGACGAUAAGAACUCCUUUGCAAGAAACCAGAAUUGUGGUGUUCUUAGGUUUAUUGAAUGUAUCCUGUUGACUGAGAAGUUUUCCGAUUUGAAUGCUUAAGAGUUUAGGGUGCUAUAUGCAAAAAAAAAAAAAUUUCCAAAGGAAAAGAGAUUUUAGAGAAAAUUGAAACGGCGCCCACAGCGAAAGACCUACUCUUCCCCGGAUAUGACAACGGCCUCUUUAAAAACAUUAACUACUUCUUAGUUGACGAGGACACUGAGGCACCCAUCAUUGGCAUUGUCAAUAAUUUUAGUUCUGGUAUUAUGAAGAUUGAUCUAAGCUCGUUCACUGAUAUUGUGAAUGGUGAAUUUGUGAGCAUCUCAAUAAUUGACGCAGUUUUGCACAUGUCCAUGACCGAUGCAAUCAGACGAGAUUUGGUGAACGUCUACUGUUGUGAUGUAACUCAAGUAAUGCAGGGUACUGUUGAUAGUCGCAGUGUUUUGUGUAACAUUAAUAUUGGGAAUAAAGUACAAUUGAUGCCUUAUCAUGUAAACGGUUAUCACUGGUGCCUUAUUGUUGCUGACAUGAAAUAAAAAAAAACAUAUUCUGAUCUUUUAAAUUUAAAGGCCUCUAACAGUAAGCAAGAUUCAUUAGUAAGUUUCCUUCAAAAGAGAAAUAAUUUAAGUAACGAAAAAAUUGACUGUAGUAAAUGGAAGGUGAAUGAAAAAACCACUUAUCUUCAGCAACACUGUUUAAAAAAACCCUGAAAAUUCAGAGUAACUUUUUUAGACUUUGCUGUCUGAAUAGGGUUUUCAUACAAUUUUGUCAUAAUUUUCAGUGAACGUCUAAAAUUUCAUUGUUCUAGAUCUGAAUUAAGAGUUAAGUCAAGAAAAUGUGAAAAUUCAGAGUAUUGAUUGAAACGAAGUCUGAGUCUGAAAUUCAGACAAGAAAAGUAUGAGUAUUUAGUUUACUCCCGGGAGCAUACCGGUAGGAUCAGGCCGGUAGCCGUCGGUGACCCCUAAGUCUUGUUGUCGUGGACGUGACACGCUCUCCUCGAAAAGUCGUGCCUGCCGCCGUGGAGGUAGGCCACCCUUCAUACCGUCUCACCUCACACCACUCCAACCCCGGGCUGCGCGCACAACACCCGAGCACCCAACAGCUGACCGGCGGACACGCCGUGCCGUGCCUCGUCAUUCCUCCCUGCGCUCUCGACCAGGGCUGGAUAAUUGUUUACCCGUGGCUCGUUACUGAGUUUGAGACAGUGUGCAUUGAAAUCGGUACAACAUGGCGUCUGCCAUUACCGUGGGUGAAAGAGACACUUUAUUAGCCUCCAUCAUGAGCGGCUAAGUUACGAUUCCACUCCCCUGCCGCCGUUCUGCUUUCAAGAUGUAACUGCAACCUGACCUUGACCUAGGCCAAUGGCCUGGGCCUAACCUUCAACUUCCACCAUGUGACUUUCCUUCCACAGCACCUCUUGUGGUGCAAGGUGAUGUGAUGAUCUGUGUAAUGUUUAAUGCCUUUGUGUUAUGAUGGCAUUACUUAUGUGUUCUGUGCGGUUUGUGCACUUAAAGUGAAUUGUGUGUGUGUGAGAAAUUUGCAAGGAUGAAUGGUGACGUCACAACUUAGGUGAGUCUAUGCGCUUGUAUGCGCUUUAUCUCUUUUCCUUGGGCCCAGGGUAUAACCUUUGUAUAUUUUUGUAAGUGUUUCUGUAUAUUGUUUGCAGUGUAUGUGUACAGUGUAUUUGUUCAGACAAGUAAAUGUUCUGGAAUUAGAGUGUGUAUCAUGUGAUGGUAUAUACUUUGUCUACUGUACUAUUUUGUUUUUCUGUUUGCCUUUGAUAUAGUGUGUCAACGCCUUAAUUUUUGUUUGGCCUCUCACUAUUUUCUUUUGGAUGAUUUAAAUGAUUGUUUAAUCAAUUUCCUUGCGACUGUUUGACUUCAUGUUCGCUUUUCAAUCCAAUGGAUGCAUUAAUAAAUUUCUUGUUUUGCCACGAUUCUUUUGGCUAUUGAAAAAUUAAUGUAUUUAAAAGGCUAGAGUAUAGAUUUUGUGUGCAAGUGUUUCUAUAAAUUUACUCUUAUGCUAUGCAGUGAUUUGACUUGCUGUAUUUAAGAUCAGAAAAUAAUGUGAGUUAAAUUAUUAGUGGGUUCAUGCCCCACGUUAGUGCUCAUAUAUAUUGUUUUUGAUUUUGGCUCAAUCGUAAAAUCUAUAAAUGUAAUAAAUGCUUGCUUUACCCUCUCAAAAAUAUUUCUUAAUAAUUCAAUCAAACCAAAAUUAGACCUUUUAAUCAAAACAGCCAGGGAGAAUACCCGAGAAGAGUUUGUGCGCAAUCUUACCCACUACUAAACCCAUGACAGACGUGUGGUCAAGGAUGAGAGAUUACCAAUCCAAAGGCCCGAGGUUCUACUCCGGGUAGGAAUAGGGGAAUAUUGCGCCUCUUGAAGGAUGUCAAUGGACUGUCCGCGGGUCAGUUAGGUGGUCGACCCUUCCGGCGCGAAUGCAAAUGUGGUGUGGGUUGCCUAUACGGUAGGCGCUUUUUGUUUUGGCUCUAGGAGCUGAUUUAUAGCAAGUUAGUAUGCUAUGUAUGUUUAACAACAUUGUUUUUCCCCUUAAGACCAGCAGCUAAUUUUAUCGCCUUUUAUAAUAUCAGUGUCUUGUAAUUUUUUGAUCAAUAAAUGAUGUGCUUUCAAUCGUG